ACAUGGCUGUCCUGUUUGCAGAACGCUGAUUGGUUGACAGAGCUCUAAGCGUUUGCACUUGUCACAACAAACCUGAGGGCACGAGAUAUUGGGACUCCCCCGUCAGCUUUUUGUGGUAUUUUAAUAUUCAGGUCACUGCCUCCCACGUUGGGCUUUGUGAAAUUUAUCAUUUGCUAUAUUCAUUCGCUGCGAUUUGCGUCUUAUUUCGUGUAUAAACGAAAUGGAGCCAGCCACCGACGGAAAAGGUCUCGAAAAACGUCUCAAAGUGGCCGCUUUAGCAUGGGCUUGUACACUCACAGGAGCAACGGGUUUUGAAACUCCCGAACCACCGCCAGAGGAUGAUGAAACCAAGAUUCAAAGAUGGCAAGAAGGAAAGAGCGAUGUAAACGAAGCCAAAUGAUGAGAGUGCUUCGUGUUUGAAGGAUAAACUCGGAAAUGAAUACACUAUUUCACUGGAUCAGAUCGCAUGAACGCCGAGAAAGUGCUUUAACCUGCUUAGAAAUAGCCAGCAGUGGAUUUCUGGUUGAUAGGAUAAAAGAGUUGCAUUGUUAGAACUGAGAUAUUUCAGAACCAAAAAUCCCUUGUAACAUAUAAGUACUUUAGGCGAGAUCGACUGAAAAGUUGGAAAUUGAAACGUAGCGUUAUUUAAGAGGCCGUCAUAAUAAAAAUUCAUGUAUUCAAUAAUUGCCGAUGGCCACACGUCACCUGGUUUGUUUCAUUUUCGUUUUUGCGAAAAAUGCUCUGUUUGAAACGUUUUUGCCCAAACACGUCCCCUCUAAUUAACUACUAUCUCUCAUCAAUAUCAUACCCGGUCAUUACCUUACAGCGCUCAGUGUUUAAAAACUUGUUGGUCUGUUUUGCUUGUAAACAUGAACUUAAACGCAGGUCUCUAUCUUCUGUUCAACAUCAAUAAAAUCAAACUAUAAGGCAAAUAACUGUUCGUUGUGAUAUGAUUACAGUUUAAAUCGCUACUUUGAAGAUUCUGUCGUAUUGAAAGUCGAUUACUUAAGAUUAUCUUAUUGCAAUCUUAUAGUAAACAGUUACUAUUGUUCUUUUAAGCUUACUCCUAUCUUUACAAGUGAUAAGUCCUUUAUAAGCCUUCAAUAUCGGUAACAUAGUGCUCUAGAAAAGCUUUUUGUUCGCUACUACGUGAAGUUAAAAACGAAUAAUGUCUGAGCAUGGAGUGAACAAGCUAGUGAUGUAAAUAUUAUUAUGAAUUUCGUCCCAAUAAAUUGUCAAACGUUUA